UCAAAAAUGAAAGCAGCGAUCUGAUUGGUUGCUAUGGGCAACUCAGCAACUUUUCCUCUGGACAGGUUUUGAUGAAUAUCCCCCAGAGUUUCUACCGCUUCAUAAUUAGGAAAGGUGGCGACCCUACCUGGAGCUGCAGAUGCCACAUCAUCAUUCAUUUCUAUGGGAGUGCCAAAGAUAACCCAGUGCUGUACUCAGAAACAUUCAUCAUGGGAUCGGUCAACGACACUAAAAACGAAGACUUCAUUUUGAUCGGCCUAUCCAGUGACCCGAAAACAAAGAUUGCAUUAUUUGUAUUCUUCUCCCUGGUUUACAUGACUUCGAUAACAGGAAAUGCGGUAUUGAUCCUAAUAACCCAACUUGCUAGUGAUCUCCACAAACCAAUGUACAGGUUCAUCUGCAGUCUCUCUCUUCUGGAUAUUACAUUUACGUCGGUGACUGUUCCCAAAAUGCUGAGUGGGCUUCUCUUGGAACAUAACUACAUAUCGCGUGUUGGAUGUUUUACUCAACUCUAUUUCUUUCACUUCUUGGGAAGCGCGGAAUGCUUUCUCUUAAGUAUUAUGGGUUAUGACCGAUAUGUGGCUAUUUGCCAUCCUUUACGUUACUCCCAAAUCAUUGACAAGAAGACCUGUAUCCAAUUGGCCUCCGGUUGUUGGAUAACUGGGUUCUUUUACUCAUCUGUUCAUACAAUACUCACUUCGGCUCUAUCUUUUUGUGCUUCCAAGGAAAUUAACCACUUCUUGUGUGACAUGCCGCCCCUACUGAAACUAUCCUGUACAGACACAAAAAUCAAUGUUAUUGUUAUUUUGGGUCUAGGUGGUCUUGCUGCUGGGGCCUCAUUUUUAUUGACCACCAUUUCUUAUUUUUAUAUCAUUUCGACAAUUCUGAAAAUUCGUUCUGCGGAGGGUAGACAAAAAGCCUUUUCGACCUGUGCAUCCCAUCUUCUGAUUGUGUUAAUGUUUUAUGGUACCAUCCUGGUUAUGUAUCUAAGGCCCCAGUCAAGUUAUUCCAUGGAACACGAUAAAAUACUCUCCGUAUUUUAUAAUAUUAUAACUCCGAUGUUAAACCCAAUGAUAUAUAGCUUAAGAAAUAAGGAAGUCAAGUGUGCCCUUUGUAAAAGCUUUGUAAGGAAAAACCAAUUAGGUAAAUUAAACUAGACUGUACAAAUUUAAAGGAAAUCUGUCAUCAGUUUCACCUGCACUAACCUGUAUAUACCUGUAUUAGACGUGUAUAGUGCAGGUGACAAUGAUGUCAACAAUACUUACCUGAUCCCGUUUGGUGCUCUGGUUCAUCUGUUAUCUUCCACUGUAUCUUCAGAGCUUCCUGACGUUACUGCUUUUGUUUGCUAGCAGUGGGACCCAGCAGAGAAGCAGCAGCAGAGACGUCAGAAGCUCCGCCCAUGCUCCUAGUCGGCCCUGGGACGGAAGAUACGGAGGAAGAUAGCGGGAGUACUAGAGCAUGGAACUGGAUUACUUUUAUUAUUGUGGUUCAAUCAUUCUAAUAACCACAAGGAAGCACCAAUAGGAACUUCUUUUUGGAAAAUCUGGAAAAUAUUGACUUGUGUUUCGGUAAAAGUAUUUCAGAUAUACAAACAAUUUGGUCACUAUGGUGAUUCUCUAAAUACCAACCCAUUUUUGGGUGGUAUUUAGAACUGUACUAAUUUGUGAAAUUUUACAUAAUUGCAUAUUUAUUUAAUUUUAAAGUAUAAUAAAUGCGUAAACAAAGUAUUGAUAACAGAUGAUUCGGAUUAUAUUGAUAGUUCAACACAACAAUUUAUUGAUUUCAUUUAAAAAUUAAAUAAAGAUUAAGGUAAAUUGAUGUAUGGCCAUAUUUUGAUGAAUUUGAUCUAAUAUUGAAC